GUUCGCGUAGUCUAGUGGUUAUGACGUCUGCUUUACACGCAGAAGGUCCUCGGUUCAAACCCGAGCGCGAACA
rnacentral:tRNA from 1 species